UCCAGAAACUUCAUUAUAACCAAACAACCACAAAAAAGAAAAACUGUUAUAACCCAAUUUCUAAGAAAGGAACAUAUGUUAUGCGUUACUGGAAAAACCUAUGCUUAAGAGAUUUUUAAGGUUCUUUAUUGUGAGUCUCCGGAAAUACACUUCUCCAGGAGUUUCUUUCCUGCUGAAUUUUGAAUCAGGGCUUUUGCUGUGUCUGGGUCUUUUCCUGCACCGUCCCUGCCUGCCAAGGCAGGCCCCAAAGCCAGCAGCGUCUGCCUGAGGACGUGGAAAAAGGACUGAGACCUCUGCUACUGAAUUGUCAUCCCCUAUGGGGUCAAGUCUCUCUAAGUCCUUCUCAAAAGGCACUUCUGUUGCUCAACAUGGAAGGGGUUGGUCCUCCGGCACCUGGGGGAUGGCCGACUAGCUCUCCAGCCAAGAGCAGGCCCCACCCAUGCCGAAUCCGAAAAUCCCUCACGGAGGGGCACUGACCGAUGUUUGUGCCCUUUCACUCACCACCGGUAACUGGUACCGAAAGUUAAGGAUGCAGGACGCCGGCAGACGUUGAAGAGUUUCGUGCCUGAGGAGCAUCCACGAGCCACCUCUCCACAACAGAGGCCCUCGGCCGGGCUGUGUCCGGGCCUCAACGUCACACAGGCCAGGACGAUACCAGUGCCGAAGUGCAGAACUGAACAUGCCCCGGGGAGUGGGCUCGGGGCAGGGAGAAUCAAAGCCGGGACAGAAUACACUCAUCCUCCCAAGUUUCCAGCAACUUCUUUUCCAGCUGG